rnacentral:rRNA from 1 species
UACGGAGGGGACUAGCGUUGUUCGGAAUUACUGGGCGUAAAGCGCACGUAGGCGGAUUUGUAAGUCAGGGGUGAAAUCCCGAGGCUCAACCUCGGAACUGCCUUUGAUACUGCAAAUCUCGAGUCCGGAAGAGGUGAGUGGAAUUCCUAGUGUAGAGGUGAAAAUUCGUAGAUAUUAGGAAGAACACCAGUGGCGAAGGCGGCUCACUGGUCCGGUAC